rfam:Tuber melanosporum whole genome shotgun sequence assembly, scaffold_153, strain Mel28
GACAUUGUGGCCGAGUGGUUAAGGCGACAGAUUAGAAAUCUGUUUCGUUCGCGAGCACAGGUUCAAAUCCUGUCGAUGUCG